rnacentral:rRNA from 1 species
CCUACGGGAGGCAGCAGUGAGGAAUAUUGGUCAAUGGGCGCGAGCCUGAACCAGCCAAGUAGCGUGAAGGAUGACUGCCCUACGGGUUGUAAACUUCUUUUAUAAAGGAAUAAAGUGAGCCACGUGUGCCUUUUUGAACGUACUUUAUGAAUAAGGAUCGGCUAACUCCGUGCCAGCAGCCGCGGUAAUACGGAGGAUCCGAGCGUUAUCCGGAUUUAUUGGGGUUAAAGGGAGCGUAGAUGGGUUGUUAAGUCAGGUGUGAAAGUUUGCGGCUCAACCGUAAAAUUGCAAUUGAUACUGGCAGCCUUGAGUGCAGGUGAGGUAGGCGGAAUGCGUGGUGUAGCGGUGAAAUGCUUAGAUAUCACGAAGAACUCCGAUUGCGAAGGCAGCUUACUAAACUGCCACUGACAUUGAUGCUCGAAAGUGUGGGUAUCAAACAGGAUUAGAUACCCCAGUAGUC